AUGUAUUUAUAUAAAGCAAACGAAAACAAGUUAUUUGAGCGCACAUAGCCACGCCAAUUAAACAAGCUGCCCAAAUGCGAAUUUCAUAUCGCUUCCUUGUUUGGCCAUGGAUUAAGCACCUGUUUUGGUCGUAAUUCGUAAUUCGUAAUUCGGCGAUCAUCACUCAAUGAAAGUGUGUACCGCCUAAUGGAAGCGCUUUAAGUCGGUCGCUUAGCGCUCCAAGCGAAUUGCUUUUCGCGGCGGGGCAGUGGAAAUGCGACAUAAAUAUGCAUGAGGAGCUGAGUGGGUCUACGACUACUACGGCUUUUAGCUAACAUUUUCGAAACUUUUACGUUCGGAUUCUUAAUUCAACAAAACACGCAAAGUUAAUAAAUUUCAAAGUGAAUAUGUUUUCACCAUCAUGCAUUUAGCCUGGCCCGGGAAUGCUUUUUUUUUUUGGGGCGUCUGGCGACUUCGGACCUUGUUCUUCUUCGCCGGCAAUGGCAAACACAAACUGUAUAAUAUGGGUUAUAUAUACAUACAUACAUAUAGUAGCUAUAAGGCAAGGGGCUCCGAAAACAAAAAGAAGACCAUGGUGCGGUAUGGUAUGGAAUGGAAUGGAAUGGAAAUGUUGCCUGCGGCGUGGCUACAUUGUUUGCAACUACAAGUAAUUAAUUUUACCACUACAAGGUUUUAAUGACUUCUAAAAAGUUUUUAGCAUUGCUGGAUAAUCCUCGUGGCCGGGGCCAAGUGAAGUCAGGCCAAGUCAACGACGAUGACUUUCUCCUUGGCUCUGGAGGCGUGGCAGAGGCGUGUGCCACCCACAAACAGCCCGACUAUUGUCCUACAAGUUGCUUAAGCAAAAAUAAGCAGCGAGUGAGAGUGGUCCAGUGAACAUAGAUGCCCAUGCCCAUGCCCAUGCCGAUGGAUGGUGAUGCUAAAUAGGCCUUGCCUUUAAGCCGUCAGCACACACAGCUGGCCCUGGCCAACUGUUUAUGGCCAGUGUCAUGUCCAACUCCAUGUAGCCGGCGAACCGCAAGGCCAAGAGCCCUGGAACUGAAUGGAGCCCCAAGGCUGCUGCUCCCGCUCCCGUUUCUGUUCCUUGGGUAGAUUGAGUCACGGCUUGGACACAAUGUGCGGUUUUUGGUCUGUUGAUAUAAUUUGAAUUUUAUGGUGUAAUUACGGUCAUAAAUGUAUUUGCCGUUUAAUGGACC
ensembl:ncRNA lncRNA:CR44553 long non-coding RNA:CR44553